rnacentral:rRNA from 1 species
CUACGGGGGGCUCCAGUGGGGAAUAUUGCACAAUGGAGGAAACUCUGAUGCAGCAACGCCGCGUGGAGGAUGACACUUUUCGGAGCGUAAACUCCUUUUAUAUAGGAAGAAGAUGACGGUACUAUAUGAAUAAGCGCCGGCUAACUCCGUGCCAGCAGCCGCGGUAAUACGGAGGGCGCAAGCGUUACUCGGAAUCACUGGGCGUAAAGAGCGUGUAGGCGGAUUAAAAAGUCAGAAGUGAAAUCCUAUAGCUUAACUAUAGAACUGCUUCUGAAACUCUUAAUCUAGAAUAUGGGAGAGGUAGAUGGAACUUCUGGUGUAGGGGUAAAAUCCGUAGAGAUCAGAAGGAAUACCGACUGCGAAGGCGAUCUACUAGAACAUUAUUGACGCUGAGACGCGAAAGCGUGGGGAGCAAACAGGAUUAGAUACCCCAGUAGUC